rnacentral:lncRNA from 1 species
AUGAAGGGGAGGAGAGGACGGAUGUUUAAGCAAUUUGAACAGCCGACUGAGUCUUCUCUUCCCUGCUACAGACUGUCUCACCUUUCUCUUCUCUGCUACAGACUCUCCUUUCUCUUCUCUGUCUCUCCUUUCUCUUCCCUGCUACAGACUCUCCUUUCUCUUCCCUACUACAGACUGUUUCUCCUUUCUCUUCCCUGCUACAGACUGUAUCUCCCUUCUCUUCCCUGCUACAGACUGUUCUCUCCUUUCUCUUCCCUGCUACAGACUGUCUCUCCUUUCUCUUCCCUGACUCUCCUUUCUCUUCCCUGCUACAGACUGUUUCUCCUUUCUCUUCCCUGCUACAGACUGUCUCUCCUUUCUCUUCCCUGCUACAGACUGUCUCUCCUUUCUCUUCCCUACUACCGACUGUCUCUCCUUUCUCUUCCCUAUACAGACUUGUCUCUCCUUUCUCUCCCUGACUACAGACUGUCUCUCUUUCUCUUCCCUACUAGAUCUCUCCUUUCUCUUCCCUGCUACAGACUGUCUCUCCUUUCUUUCCCUGCUACUGUUCUCUUUCUCUUCCCUAAUACAGCUGUCUCUUCCUUUCUUUUCCCUGUACUGUCUCUCCUUUCUCUUCCCUGCUACAGACUGUCUCUCCUUCCUCUUCUCGUUCUCUCCUUUCUCUCCCACUUAAAGACUGUUCUCCUUCCUCUUCCCUGUCUCUCCUUUCUCUUCCCUGCACAACAGAUCUGUCUUCUUUCUUCCCUACUACAGACCUGUCUCUCUUUCUUCCUGCUACAGA